UACGUAGGGGGCAAGCGUUGUCCGGAAUCAUUGGGCGUAAAGAGCGUGUAGGCGGCCCGGUAAGUCCGCCGUGAAAGUCCAGGGCUCAACCCUGGAAUGCCGGUGGAAACUGCCGGGCUGGAGUCCGGAAGAGGCGAGUGGAAUUCCUGGUGUAGCGGUGGAAUGCGCAGAUAUCAGGAGGAACACCGAUGGCGAAGGCAGCUCGCUGGGACGGUACUGACGCUGAGGCGCGAAAGCGUGGGGAGCGAACAGG
rnacentral:rRNA from 1 species